UAUGAUGUUUUGAUGCUUAAAAGGUUUCUUUUAUUCUCCAUUUUCUUACCCACUUUUCCAUUUUUAGCUUGUUUCAUGUGUUUCUUGAUCUACUAUUGAUGUGUGUUGUUACCCAAACUCUUAUCCAUUCCCCCUUUGUGUUUCAUUUACAAGAAAUCCCAUGUUUAAUGUAAAAGAGAAAAAGGGUUUCUUAUACUUUGACCAGACAGCUAAUGAGUUAGGGUUUUUUUCAGAAUCCAUUUAAGGUUCAUAAGCAAAAUACAUUGUUGCAAUGGGCACUGACACUGAGGCUCCAAAAGGAGACAUUGCUGUUGUAUCUUCAAGAGUGAAGUGGAGGAUUGAGAACUUUUCUAAGUUGAGCAAGAUGCAUUUUUCGGAUACAUUCUCUGUUGGUUGUCAUAAAUGGCGGUUGCUAAUGUAUCCUAAAGGAGCAAUUGAGGGAAACUUAUCGCUUUACCUUUGUGCUGUGGGCUUCUCCAAUUUCCCUUUUGUAGAAUUCUAUUUGGAAGUGAUUAACCAAUUUGAUAAUAGCUAUACAGUCAGAAAAGGUGCGCAUUACAAGUUCACUGCACUAGAUCGUGCUCGGGGUUUCACAUCUUUGAUGCCUCUUAAUGAACUCAAUGGCCCCCGUAAAGGAUACAUUGUGGAAGAUAGUUGCAUAGUUGAAGCUGAGAUUUCUAUGCCUGGAGUUCCUGAUUAUCAUAUACCAACUUCUUUGGAGGUGCACAAUGGUAACUCAAUGGAAGUAGAACUGAGUGUAGAGGCGCUCGCUGAAGUUGUGACGCCUACAGAAGAUAUCCUCCCAGUUGGGGUAAUGGAAGCUGUAGCUGAGGUCAAAGUUUCUGGUGCAGCAAAACAAGAUGAGUUUCCAGGUGCUGGCCGACUAUAUGAAGAAGGUAGAUACUGCAAAGAAGUUGUUCUGGAUGAGAAAUAUGAAGAAGUUGGAGGCUUCAGGGUACUGAAAACACAAGCGUCGCUGUAUAAAGAGAUCUGGUUGAACUAUGGGCACAUUGCUUCAACCCAAGUUCUUAAGGAUUUAUAUUCUUCCCAGGUAGCCAUUGUCACUGAAAUAAUGACUUGUAUUGUGGAUAUGUAUUGGUACCGUCUCGAGGAGGUUUCUUCAGAAAUGAUCGACACGUGGGAUAAGAAGAUACAAGUAGCAGAGAAACUUGAAUUCAACAUCAGUUGGCUUCGUGAGCGCUUAGAAGAUAUUAAGAUAAAAUUUGCUGGGGAGAAAAAGCUUCAGGACACAUUAAUGGAACAGGAUCAGGCAAAGUCACAAGUUCUCGAGGCUGAGCAGCAGUUGGUCUUAGCAAAUGAAAGGUUGAAUAUGGCAAAAGAGCGACUUUUCGGCUUGGAAACUAAGACUUCUCCCUUACUUAUGGAGAGACAAAAUUUUCUAAGAAAAUGUGGCGGUCGUUUGCUGCUUUUUGAUGGCGACACGAGCGUGCCACUUGCCAUGGCUCCAGUGGAAAAGGAUGCAACGCCGACAGAACAACCUAUUGAUAACAGCAACUCAGAGACAGUGCCUCUUGUCAUGGCUCCAGUGGAAAAGGUUGCAACGCGGAUAGAAGAACCUACUGAUAACAGCAACUCAGAGACAGUGCCACUUGUCAUGGCUCCAGUGGAAAAGGUUGCAACACCGAUAGAAGAACCUAUUGAUAACAGCAACUCAGAGACAGUGCCUUGUACAGGAAUUGAAGCAUCAAUUCCUCGAAGAACAAGAACCUUGACUACAUCCAUAUCACCAGCUAAUGAAUCAAAGAGAAACUCAUCUGGUGAUGGUGCAGGUGGUGGUAAUGGUCAACAUUCGGAAAAAAAACCAAAAGCUUCAAAAGAUGGGUGUGCAGUUACAUUACAAAGUAUUAGCUACUCUCCCAUGCCUUCAAGAGGUUCAUUGUCACCAAAAAACAUGUCACCAGCUAAUGAACCAAAGAGAAAAUCAUCUGGUGAUGGUGCAGGUGGUGGUAAUGGUCAACAUUUGGAAAAGAAACCAAAAGCUGCUACAUCACAAAGUAUUAGCGGCUCUCCCAUGCCUUCAAGAGGUUCAUUGUCACCAGAAACCACCUCAACACCAAAUGCUAAGCAGCUAUUUACAGAGGAUGAAAUUAUGACUGCGUUGUUGCAGCAGCCUAUUAUGACAACCCGAGAUCUCGUUGGCAAGUUCAGAUCAAGACUGAAUACACCAGAGGAUAAAUUGGCUUUCUCUGAAGUUAUGAGGGGAAUUUGCAAGAUACAGACAAAGGAAAACGGAACCAGAUAUGUAAUGUUGAUGAAGUAAUAGAUUUCUGGCUACUAACUACAAGUAUUAUGUAAAGAAAGAAGUCAUCAGAUGGACAGUUGCUGUGUUCUUUAGCAACUAGAGUUAUUAAAGGUUAGGUCGCAUUGCCAUUUAGUAAGUAUUAUAGGUGAAGGGUGGCAAGGAUUUUGGUAGAAUUUUUUAAGCUUAUAAUCAAGCAGUUAGAAUACUGUUUAGCUUGGUAGGAUGAUGAACUACAGUUUUUGGUUUCACUUACUCUGAUAUACUAUUGCCCUUGAUUACUUUUCAGUGAAUUUUGGUGAUACUUAUUAGUUGUUGUUUUCAUUUUAAUAUUUCUUGGUUUUUUGAUGUUGACCAUACUCCAUUUCUCUCUGUCUUUCAGUGCAUGUGUCGAACACUUCCACUACAUAACAACUGUCUAAUCUUUACUGCGAACUCCAGGCAUUCUUUGCAAUCUGCAGGUACAAAACACCUCCAUUGCAUUGCACAAGAUCCUUGCAGGGGGGUCGCAUUGUCACUUCCUGCUGAAACGGAUCCAGUAGUACCCAAAAUGCUAACAAAUGAAGGUUAGCUAAGUAGUUUCUUUUGCAACAAAAAAGUACAGUGAAAUGGAGACUUUGCCACUCACCAAUUAUUGAGUACUACAGUUAAAACAAAAAAGUUGCAUCAACCAACUUUUUGCAAAAGCAUGAUAAGAUCUGUCUCUCAACCCCAUUCAAGAAAACUCCACCACUUAGUUUUUCUCUUUUUGAAAUUGAACUCACUCCAAAACAUGUCUUGAAUUCUCAGGAAGUUCUAAACUGCUUGAUCUCUUUAGUUUCCUGUAAAGAAAAUUAGGAUCCACCAAAAUGCUGUUUAAGCCUGUUCCAGAUAUUCCAAAGAAAAAUGACUCCAUUACUAAAACAUCAUCAAGGUUUAGAUGGAGAAUUGAAAAUUUUUCAAGGUUUAACAGUUCUGCAGCUCAAGUAUACUCCUCAGAUGUGUUUAAGUUUGGUUCUUAUACUCUUCAAUGUUUUAACCAGGCAUUUAAUCAUCUAUCCAAAGGGACAGGACAAUGACAAUCACAUAUCCAUAUUCCUGGUACAACUCGAGCUUCGCCUCAUUGGGUUCCUCAACUGGUUCUUGUUGGUUCAAAUCUGGCUUCUUUCCUGGUACUGCCUCGAGCAGUACCAGUUGUUCCGAUUCAGGCGGUUCACCAAUUGCGUCUUCGUGGGGUUUGGCCUCGGCCAAUUCUGGGACUUGCUUCAGUUUGGCCUCUAGCAAUUCAGGUCCCUCUUCCAGUUUGGCCUCGGUAAAUUUGGGGUCCUCGUUCAGUCCUUCGCCCGAGUUUUGGUCCUCUUUCAGGUUGUCCCCACGCGAUCAUUUGCAGAAUAUGGAGUACAGCUUAUCUGUAUUAGAUCAAAUUCAUAACAAAUACACAGUGCGGAAAGGUAUACAAAUCAUCUUACUUGGAUGCUACAUGCUGGCUAAUUUUAUCCCUUAACAGUUAGCUGCACAAGAAUGGAUGUUGUUUCAUUUACCAUUGAUGCUUAACUUUAGUACUAAAUGGCAACACUGAGCAGAGGGACAACACGUAAUCGACGGUCAAAACAUGAUUGGUUUUACAUCCUUCAUGCCUCUUAGUCAACUCAACGACCCUGGUAGAGGAUACCUUGCAAAUGAUACUUGUAUCAUUGAAGCCGAAAUUGGUUUUCCAGGGUUCUAAAUGAACUCUUCUCAAAAGACAGUCACCGAUAAGUCAACGGAAACAGAACCCCAGGUGCUCUCUUCCGUGCAGACUCUUUCAGACAUGGAUCCAGUUGCAGUGUUGAUGCCGCAGCUUGAAACCCAAACUAAACUAGGUGGGCAAAAAGAUGAACUUGUUAAAAUGCCUGAGACCGAGACAUUGUUAAAAUGUGAAGCAGCAACAGAAUUUAACGCCACAAUGGCAAAAUGUGAAGCACCAACAUCAUGCAAAAUUACGCCAGCGCUCGAGCAUAACCUUGCUGGUCAUUUGUUUGAAGACGGACGACAUCAGCAAGGCACUGUUUUGAAUGAGAAAUUCGAACAUGUUGGAGGCUUCAGUGUUCUGAUGAGACAAGUACCAUUAUAUAAACAGAUAUGGUUAAAAUAUGGGCAUAUUGCUACAAGUCAAGUUUUGAUGGACUCAUACUCUGGCCAAGUCUCGGUGGUCACGGAUAUAAUGAAUUCUGUUCUGAAUAUGAAACAACAGCGUGUCAGUGAGCUGUCUAAAUGAUUGAAGCAUGGGAGAAGAAGAUAAAAAUGGCUGAGAAACUUGAAUUUAACAUUAGUUGGCUGCGAGAGUGGUUUGAGCUUGUUAAAGAAGACUUCUAGGGGGUGCAGAAGCUUCAGACUGCACUAGUUGAGCAUGAACAGGCAAAGGAGAGACUGAUUGCAGCAGAGGAGCAGUUGAUGUUAGCCAAUAAUGAGAUGAAGAAUGCUCGAGAAAACCUCUCUGUCUUAGAAACUAGGCUAACUCCCUUAUUGUUUCAGAAGCAAAUCUAUGAAGAAAAAGGCACCCGUAUGGUGUUGGAUGGGUUGUUGUAAUGAGUAUUAACUUCAGUAUGAUGCCACUCUUGGUGUAGUAUGCAAGGUUAAAUUUUCUGUGAAUAAUUGGAUGCCCAGUCUUAUCUAUAAUGUACAUUGAGACUAAAUUUGAAUCAAGUUGGAUGCCCACAGACUCACAGAAAAUGAACUUUAACAUUAUUCAAUGGUUGAGAAUGAUAAAGUUUGUUAGAGAAAUAUCAAAUCUUUAAGCUGUUAACUUCCAGAACAAUGGGUAUUUUGCCUGUGUUUGCAGUUUACAGAAUCACGGCUUAAAUUUCCCUUUCUUUCCUUUUUUGCUACACAGGACAAGACUAGAUUGCAGCAUAUGCUGAACUAUGAUAAGAUGCUCAUGUACCAAAAGGACCCAAGUUCUCGAGCUACAUAAUUAAACUUGG